rnacentral:rRNA from 1 species
GUACUGAGACACGGACCAAACUCCUACGGGAGGCAGCAGUGAGGAAUAUUGGUCAAUGGGCGUAAGCCUGAACCAGCCAAGUCGCGUGAGGGAUGAAGGUUCUAUGGAUCGUAAACCUCUUUUAUAAGGGAAUAAAGUGCGGGACGUGUCCCGUUUUGUAUGUACCUUAUGAAUAAGGAUCGGCUAACUCCGUGCCAGCAGCCGCGGUAAUACGGAGGAUCCGAGCGUUAUCCGGAUUUAUUGGGUUUAAAGGGUGCGUAGGCGGCCUUUUAAGUCAGCGGUGAAAGUCUGUGGCUCAACCAUAGAAUUGCCGUUGAAACUGGGAGGCUUGAGUAUGUUUGAGGCAGGCGGAAUGCGUGGUGUAGCGGUGAAAUGCUUAGAUAUCACGCAGAACCCCGAUUGCGAAGGCAGCCUGCCAAGCCAUGACUGACGCUGAUGCACGAAAGCGUGGGGAUCAAACAGGAUUAGAUACCCUGGUAGUCCACGCAGU